CCUUAACAUUAAUGCUUUUGCAAUUCAAGCAACAAGAAGAAACUCACUAGCAUCUGCAAAUGCUGGUUCCAAAUGCUUGACAGUUGGGGGAGAAUAUGACUGGCUAAGCUUAGUCAAGUGACCACUCCUGGUCCAUUCAGCUACAUGCAGGGGUGGGAUCUUGAGGUUUAAAUAUGGCUGUGCGGUGAAGAGACGAUGGUCUCAGAGAAAGGAGAGAUGAGCUGGAGGUACUCUGCAGCUGGUGUCUUUUGCAAUCACAGGGUGAUUUCAGUGACAGUCUUAUAAACGACCAGAGCUAAUCUGAGAGUGUAUUGGUCUCACUCCUAAAACCAGAAGUCACCAUCCAGCCAACUUCAGGGCUCAAAAGCCAGGUGGGGGGUCUCUCCCCGGGUGCCCUGCCUUCCUGCCUCACCUUUUACGCAGCUCUAAGGAACGCUUGGCACAAACACUCUCCAACCUAAUUACCAGCCGGAAUUAAUCAAAGGCAGAUUCUUUACCAUCUGAACCACCAGGGAAGCCAGAUUGCUGCUGUAAGUUACAAUAAACUUAGUGACUAAACGCAGAAUAUUAUCUUACAGAAGCAUCCUGCCACUUGCAGGAUCUUGGUUCCUGGACCAGUGACUGAACUCCGGUCCCAGCAGUGGAAGCACAGAGUCCUAACCACUGGACCACCAGAGGAUUCCUGGGGAUCCAUUUUUCUUCACCACCUCCUGCAAAACCCACCCCUCCCUCUGCUAUGGAUGCCAUCACCUCUCUGCCCGCACCCAGGGGUCUCCCCUCCAGCUCCGGAGCGCCUUCUCCUCCCUCUGCCUGCUUUGCCGCUGACAGCUAGAAGAUUCCAAGCCAACCAUUUUGUAGAAGGUCCCUCGUCUGGGUUUGUUUGAUGUUUCCCUUUGAUUAAAUUCAGGUUAUACAUUUUUGAGAGGAAAUCACAGUUUCAUUUCUUCACAUGAAAAUAUUGAAUCCAUUUGGAAUUAAUUUGGGUAUAAAUGAUAUAUUUUUCCUCACUUAUAUGAAACACCUCCUUUAUCAUAUAGCAAAUAUUUAAUUGCAUAUCUUUUAUCUUUCUGCUCUUCAAAGCCAGUGUCACACUGUUUUAAUUACCCUGGCUUCGUAAUAUGCACCCCCCAAACACGGUAAUGAGCAGAGUCCCCCUAAUCAUGCUUCUUUUCUCAGAAACUUCCUGGCUCUUCUCGCUCAUUAAAUCUUCCAGAUGCACCUUAGAAUCGUGUUAUCAAGUUCCUUAAAAAGUACCUUUGUGAUUUAGGUUGUCGAACUUUGAAAUCACUGUGGGCAAAACGGGCAGCUUUAAUACUAAACCUUCCAUAGAGGAGCAGUGUCUGUGUAUCAUCCACACUUUCUGUGACUCGGUAAAGCUUUGUACUCUUUUUCAUGAAGUUCCUGCCCUUUUCUCUGGGAGCUGGUGACUACUUUUGAGUCUCUUGUGAAC
ensembl:lncRNA